GUCAUCAGUCUGGAGGAGACUGAUGACCUGCUAUGCCUCCAGCUGGGUCAAUUAACAAGCAGCUUCAACAGUUUAAAACCCACCUGGUGCUCAGUUGACACUCACUGGCCCCAGGAAACAAUGGAGAAAGCUUUUGUGAUUAAAGAUAUGAAACGCUUUGAGUGUUCAUCUCCAUCGGAGCUUGACAGGAAAUUUUUGGGGGAACAGAGUUUGCCGUCUGCUCUGUUGCUGGAACAACUGUCCACAUCAAGAGCGUCAAAUGACACAAUGGCUGAUGGAUCCGACACCAGACCGUCCAUUCUGGCUUCUCUCUGCCUAUCAUCGGAUCCCAUUUCUCCCUCUCAGGCAUUUUCAGUGAACAGCUUAAACGCUCAAGAGACUGACAAUUGUCUCCUGGCUGUGCCUUUGCAGGGAAUGUCCUCCACUCCCUACAUGUUACU